UGUGUAGCUCAAUGGCAGAGCAAUGGCCUUCGAAGCCAGAGGUUGCGGGUUCGAUCCCCGUCAUAG
rnacentral:tRNA from 1 species